CUCCCGUCCCCAAUUGCCUACCUCCUCUCCUACUCCGAUCCCCAGCUCCUCUCCCGUCUUCCAAUCGGCCGCCACCUUCCUCCUCCAAUCCGCGCCAUCUCCUCUUCUCCUUCCCAAUCCAGACGCUACAGGAGGGACGAGGGGAGGCAGCCCGCCGCAGCCAACGUGAGCCAGGAGGGAGAACGGGUGCCACUGCCUCGUAUACCUCGCAUAUAGAGAGCGGGGCGAAGGACAGUUGCCGGGGGGCGCUGCUGCGCGGAGCGUGGGGAGGCCAUGGUAACCGCCGGUCGCGGGCGUCGCCGUGCGAAGAGUAGGUGGGCAGGGGCCGCAUCAGCCGCCGCGGGUCGACACCGCCGUAGCGGCCAUGGAUGGAGUGGUGGCGACCAGGUGUGUGCAAGCUCUGCGGUUCGGAGGCAGCGCCUCCCUCCUAUCCUCCUCCCGAGCAUCCUCCGCCUCCUCUAGCUGGUGGAUGGGUGGAGCUGCAAGUAGAGGAAGCCACUGGCGGCGGAUCCAUCGGCCUUCAAGGGAUGGAGGUUGGUGGAGGCCGUCGAGCCGGUGGUGGGGAGCACCAGUGGCUUGCAACGCGCGCCGACCGACAGGGACGCCUGUUCUCCGCCUUGAGGAGCUGCAGGGCAGAGGAAGGGGCGGCGCUGGGUGGAGGAGGGGCUUGGGGCGGCGCUGGCCAAUUGGAGGAGCUGCAGCCAUGGGAGACUUGAAACUAUCUGAGUUGUCAUUUAAAUUGAAGAAGACUGUCGGACAUGGCUGGCAAGAGCGGAGGCAGCCGUGCCUCCUCUUCCGUGUCCUGCAACAGCGACGUCAGCUGCAAAAACAGCCCGAAGAUUCGAGUAAUUGCUGCGGUGUAAGCGGUGCUCGGUAGGGAUUUUCUCUGACAUGAGGGUUCCAGUAAUUAUUAUUUAUAUGAGAGAUAAAGAAGAGAUUAUACGUAUUGCAGCUUAUUUGGUCAUACGAUAUAAAUGAAUUUCAGCAUGUCAUCUAUGUCUACAUAUCUUGUUUUACAGGAAUCAUUACGUUCUAUGGCUGUUGCUACAUUACAGAAAUCAUUACACUUCACAUAAAUCAUUUUGUGAUAUGUGUAGUGUAAGUUAACCUGCCAUUUUAGAAUGAUUAGCACAUAAUCCAGAAGAUUGUGGUGUCUGGUGGGUUUUACUGGAGGAACAAUAUUUUUUCAGUGGACCUGAUGCCUAACACAUAUAGAUGCAGCUCAGAUUGUUCUCAAAGGAUAUAAGAAAGUUAGAAGAUGCAAUCACAGGUAGUGAUAACGGUGAAGCAACAAUUUUUGUUGUUGCCGCAACCUACAAGUUAUUGCAGAUUAAUUGUGAGGGUCUGAUACUUGAAAAAUGGAUGUGCAUAUAUAGGUCGGAAACUUAUAUAUUUAUGUAUUUUCUCUUGGUUUUCUUUUGAUUUCUCCAUUGGUAGUUUGGUAGUGAUUAUAUGUUAGCUUGUGGCGACAAAAACAACCUGAACUAGAGUUCAGACCACCAAUUCAGAGGUUGUGUCUGUCUUGUGCAGAGAUCAGGUGUGGGGUUUGUGCUCAGUGUUAUCUCCGGCAUUAGGAUUCCAGUAUAUAUAAUAAUAGCAUCUACACAGAACAUGAUGCCAUAUAAAGCUUGAUAAAAUCAACUUUGGAAGAAUUGUUUUCUUUACAGAAAUCUAAAGGCAUUAUAUAAGCAUGUGUUAUUCGAAGUUUAACCAGAGACGAACCUUUUCUUUUUGGAACAAGUAGCGGUGUUCAUGUCUUAGUGAUUAAGAUAACAAUUCAUUCUAAGAGUUUUAUGUGCAGAUGCUCUUAGCCAUCAUUCUACCAUGUAUAUAAUGUUGUGGGUGAGGUUCUAAUGCGUGUGAGGUCCUAUAGAAGUUAUGUUGUCUAUUAAUUGACCUGCUUGCUAUUUUAGUGUUCCUUACCCGAGGUACUCAUCAUGUUGGGUAUACUGCUAAUCUGAUUUGCUAUUUAAUCAUGGCGUGCAUUGUUUGAUCAACCCUAUUAGUCUGAACCUCCAUAGACAAAGCAUCACUACGUCACCUUUUUUGUGAAAUCUUGAUAGAGUAUUUGCUUCUUAUAUAUAUCUUAGGGUUGAGCAAAGUCUUUGUUUGACCCGUCUACUCUAUCGAAAGGUUGAUUUCCUCUUUGGCAGUUCAAUGGUAUUAUCUAAUUAAGCUCCUUAACGGGGAUAACUUAUUUAUAACUUCAUAUUUCUAUUUCCUUUAUCGUACCAAGGCACACCAGUUGUGAUAUCUUAGCAGGACUCUGAGUUGGAGCAAGCAUAAUAGUAGUAUUAUGAAUAUAUAUUCUGCACAAACACAUAGGUAUUGUAUAUGAGGUUCCAUUAUACUCACUGAUGUUUCAUUUGCUUUCAGUUUCGUGAGAUGAUGUACGAUUAAGAAAACACUUGUGCAGUAGUUGUGGCACUUAGAGCCAUGCUAUUAUGGUGCUUCACCUUCCCUUUAUAUCUCAAGAGCUCUUACCAGACCAAUAUCUUUAUGCGUUGGACAUUGUCUACUGAUAGUAUGUGAAGAUAGUGAGGAUUGCUACCGGCGCAUGGCCGCUUGUGCUGGUUAACGAAUGAGCACGGAUGGGACGCUGCUUUCAGUCAAUAGAAAAUCCGUGUUGCCCGAGAUCAAGCUCAAGGACGGGGAUAGAGUUGAUGUGAGGUUUUCUCUGCAUAUUAACCUGGGUAAUUUAUUAGGUUGGCUACUGCCUCCUGAGUUUGUACAUAAUGAGACCAUACGGUAGUAAUUUGUGAUGCAAAUAUAAGUUUUCAUGCAAGAAAUUCAAGUUGAAUUAGAUACUUAUGCCUCAGCCUUCUCAGUUUGUACAUAGUGUUAUUGGCUGCAGGACAAUGUUAUUGGACAUUCUCUAAAUUUACAUAUGAGAAUUCCAGCA